rnacentral:lncRNA from 1 species
UAACAACAGCAAAAGAAAUAAUUCCUUUGGCUGCAUAAUCCCAUCACAUCGUCAAAGCCCCAAACGAGCAUGUCCUACUAGAUGGGCUCAUUAUUCAGAACCUCUUGCUUGCAAGCUGCCCUCUAUAAUGCCAACACACCUCGAAGUCUUUCGAGGGUGAUUCUACCUCGAGGUAUGUUUGCCGAUCUAAGGUGCCUCAAGAAGUGGCCAACCUCAAUUGCAAACUUGAAGAGAUCGAAUAUCAGUUAGUGGUGCUCUAGGAUAGUAACCAAGGAC